ncrna:unclassified sequences DTF3800-XI RNA
AGGGCUGGUCGCAAGACCCUGGUCCACCAAGCAGCGGGGAUAUACCCC